GAGCAUCAUAGAACUGCUUGAACAUGAAGAUCUUACACCGGAACAGAAGGACACAGUUUCAGAUCUUUCCAUGUCUUGGGAUCUUCCGGCAGUCACCAAAACAAAUCGGAGAUGGCUACAUAACAAACUUCUACUCCAUGCAGUCGUUGGGAGGAC